GAGCAAAGUCGUCUAGUUUUAAUGACGUAACAUUUGCAUUGAAGGUUGGCUAUAUCAAUAAGCGAUUCUCCGUGCCUAUCAAAAUCUCAAUUUUGAAUACGGCCUCGAACAAGUCGACACAUU